UAGAGUUAAGGGCAAACCUGCCAAAAGGCAGGGACGCAAAGCUACAGGGUCUAAAGCGCUUAAAGUGCUAUGAUAGCCUAGCCGCCAAA
rnacentral:ncRNA from 2 species